rnacentral:rRNA from 1 species
GCAGCCGCGGUAAUACGUAGGUGGCAAGCGUUGUCCGGAAUUAUUGGGCGUAAAGCGCGCGCAGGCGGUUCCUUAAGUCUGAUGUGAAAGCCCACGGCUCAACCGUGGAGGGUCAUUGGAAACUGGGGAACUUGAGUGCAGAAGAGGAAAGCGGAAUUCCACGUGUAGCGGUGAAAUGCGUAGAGAUGUGGAGGAACACCAGUGGCGAAGGCGGCUUUCUGGUCUGUAACUGACGCUGAUGGACGAAAGCGUGGGUAGCGAA